rnacentral:misc_RNA from 1 species
GAUGAAGAACGUAGUGAAAUGCGAUAAGUAAUGCGAAUUGCAGAAUUUCCGUGAGUCAUCGAAUCUUUGAACGCACAUUGCGCCCCCUGGUAUUCCGGGGGGCAUGCCUGUCCGAGCGUCAUUACAACCCUCAAGCUCAGCUUGGUGUUGGGCCCCGCCGCCCCGGCGGGCCCUAAAGUCAGUGGCGGUGCCGUCCGGCUCCGAGCGUAGUAAUUCUUCUCGCUCUGGAGGUCCGGUCGUGUGCUCGCCAGCAACCCCCAAUUUUUUUCAGGUUGACCUCGGAUCAGGUAGGGAUACCCGCUGAACUUAAGCAUAUCAAUAAGCGGAGGA